AGGGCACCACCAGGAGUGGAGCCUGCGGCUUAAUUUGACUCAACACGGGAAAACUCACCCGGCCCGGACACUGGAAGGAUUGACAGAUUGAGAGCUCUUUCUUGAUUCAGUGGGUGGUGGUGCAUGGCCGUUCUUAGUUGGUGGAGUGAUUUGUCUGGUUAAUUCCGAUAACGAACGAGACUCUAGCCUAUUAAAUAGAUCGUUGGCUUACAAACGCCGGCGAGACUUCUUAGAGGGACAGGCGGCGAUUCAGCCGCACGAAACAGAGCAAUAACAGGUCUGUGAUGCCCUUAGAUGUCCGGGGCCGCACGCGCGCUACACUGAAGUGAUCAGCGUGCAUUUUGAAACCUACUCUGUCAAGAGUGGGGAACCCAAUGAACCUUCUUCGUGAUUGGGAUAGGGGGUUGUAAUUAUUCCUCUUGAACGAGGAAUUCCCAGUAAGCGCGAAUCAUAAGUUUGCGCUGAUUACGUCCCUGCCCUUUGUACACACCGCCCGUCGCUACUACCGAUUGAAUGUUU
rnacentral:rRNA from 1 species